rnacentral:rRNA from 1 species
CCUACGUGCGGCUGCAGUGAGGAAUAUUGGUCAAUGGGCGCGAGCCUGAACCAGCCAAGUAGCGUGAAUGAUGACUGCCCUACGGGUUGUAAACUUCUUUUAUAAAGGAAUAAAGUGAGGCACGUGUGCCUUUUUGUAUGUACUUUAUGAAUAAGGAUCGGCUAACUCCGUGCCAGCAGCCGCGGUAAUACGGGGGAUCCGAGUGUUAUCCGGGUUUAGUGGGUUUAAAGGGUGCGCAGGCGGAGUUUUAAGUCAGCGGUCAAAUCGGGGGGCUAAACCCCAUCCAGCCGUUGAAACUGGGGAUCUAGAGUGUGCGAGAGGUAUGCGGAAUGCGUGGUGUAGCGGUGAAAUGCAUAGAUAUCACGAAGAACCCCGAUUGCGAAGGCAGCAUACCGGUGCACAACUGACGCUCAGGCACGAAAGCGUGGGUAUCGAACAGGAUUAGAUACCCUUGUAGUC